GAUUACCAGAGAUGGUUUUCUUCACUUCGGGUGGCUGGAACACAGGUGCUGCAUGGCUGUCGUCAGCUCGUGUCGUGAGAUGUUGGGUUAAGUCCCGCAACGAGCGCAACCCUCGUCCUUAGUUGCCAACGGGUAAUGCCGGGAACUCUAAGGAAACUGCCUAUGAUAAGUAGGAGGAAGGUGGGGACGACGUCAAGUCAUCAUGGCCCUUACGGCCUGGGCUACACACGUGCUACAAUGGUAGUGACAAUGGGCAGCGAUACCGCAAGGUUCAGCUAAUCCCCAAAAACUAUCUCAGUUCGGAUUGUCCUCUGCAACUCGAGGGCAUGAAGUUGGAAUCGCUAGUAAUCGUAGAUCAGCAUGCUACGGUGAAUACGUUCCCGGGUCUUGUACACACCGCCCGUCACACCAUGGGAGUUGUUUCUGCCUUAAGUCGGUGAGCCAAUCUGGCAGCCGCCCACGGCAGGGAUGAUGACUGGGGUGAAGUCGUAACAAGGUAGCCGUAUCGGAAGGUGCGGCUGGAUCACCUCCUUA
rnacentral:rRNA from 1 species